UACGUAGGGUGCGAGCGUUGUCCGGAAUUAUUGGGCGUAAAGAGCUUGUAGGCGGUUUGUCGCGUCUGCUGUGAAAAUCCGGGGCUCAACCCCGGACUUGCAGUGGGUACGGGCAGACUAGAGUGUGGUAGGGGAGACUGGAAUUCCUGGUGUAGCGGUGAAAUGCGCAGAUAUCAGGAGGAACACCGAUGGCGAAGGCAGGUCUCUGGGCCACUACUGACGCUGAGAAGCGAAAGCAUGGGGAGCGAAUAGG
rnacentral:rRNA from 1 species